UCGACGUCGCGGGCCACCGAGCGGUGCCGUUGGGUUUUCCCGUUCACCACGGCGCGGCUUUGGGAUUUCCCCGGCGACGUCUCCGGGCGGCGGUGCUGGGUUUUUCCAUGCACCGCCGCGUUGCCGACGCGAUAGGCGGGACGACGGCGAGAGCGAAGCGCAAACAACCAGUCUCGCGCGAUACCGCGAUCCGGUGACGUCUGAUUACGACAGAAUAAAAGUAUUAUUGCGGCCCACGCGCUCGGAACGACGGCUGACGGUUAUUGAAAAUAUUUAAUGACGUAGUAGGCACAUACAUCUUGAUGGAGUUGGGUGAGAUGUUCAGCAUCACUACGCAACGUUUCUAUAUUUGUAUUGGUUCAAUUUGAAUGCUUCACUAUGACUUGCCAUGUCUACUUCCUAAUAGACUGGUGCCACGGAGUACUCCUUAAAAUAUUAUAAAGGAUACAGACACUUUCAGAAAUGACCUUUUCUGCGCAGGUGUCGACAAAACCACACAGGGACUAAUGUCGGUCAUUUGAUACGCUGAAACAGCACAUUGUCGUUAUAUUACAAAUUCUAAGCCAUUGCCAAUGGUCAACCACCAAGCCGUUAUUUGAGCUCCCAACACCGCAGUAACAAUACAAAAUAUUUUUUUUUUGUACUUGUAUUAAUAUUUAAUAUUUAGUUCUAGUACACAGACUUUCUCUACUGUUUUCUAGAAAAUGAUCUACAGUUAAAAUAUUCAGUUUUUAUUAGUUUGAUGCAAGACUUCUCGAAAUAAUUUUUUGGUUUAUUAACCAAAAAGUGUAAAAAAUCUAAUAUUAAAACGUAUUUUUUAUAGAAAUUUGAAAUUCAAAAUUGGAUAAAAUUAUAUAUUUAAACAAAUAAUAACAAUUAUAAUUAUUUUGUUGUAAU